rnacentral:rRNA from 1 species
AUUGAACGCUGGCGGCAGGCCUAACACAUGCAAGUCGAGCGGUAGAGAGAAGCUUGCUUCUCUUGAGAGCGGCGGACGGGUGAGUAAUGCCUAGGAAUCUGCCUGGUAGUGGGGGAUAACGUUCGGAAACGGACGCUAAUACCGCAUACGUCCUACGGGAGAAAGCAGGGGACCUUCGGGCCUUGCGCUAUCAGAUGAGCCUAGGUCGGAUUAGCUAGUUGGUGAGGUAAUGGCUCACCAAGGCGACGAUCCGUAACUGGUCUGAGAGGAUGAUCAGGCACACUGGAAAGGAGACACGGUCCAGGCUCCUACGGGAGGCAGCAGUGGGGAAUAUUGGACAAUGGGCGAAAGCCUGAUCCAGCCAUGCCGCGUGUGUGAAGAAGGUCUUCGGAUUGUAAAGCACUUUAAGUUGGGAGGAAGGGUUGUAGAUUAAUACUCUGCAAUUUUGACGUUACCGACAGAAUAAGCACCGGCUAACUCUGUGCCAGCCGCCGCCGUAA